GACAGAGGUGCCAAGCGUUAGGCGGAAUCACUGGGCGUAAAGGGUGCGUAGGCGGGUCUUUAAGUCAGGGGUGAAAUCCUGGAGCUCAACUCCAGAACUGCCUUUGAUACUGAAGAUCUUGAGUUCGGGAGAGGUGAGUGGAACUGCGAGUGUAGAGGUGAAAUUCGUAGAUAUUCGCAAGAACACCAGUGGCGAAGGCGGCUCACUGGCCCGAUACUGACGCUGAGGCACGAAAGCGUGGGGAGCAAACAGG
rnacentral:rRNA from 1 species